UCGAGCGAACAGACGAGGAGCUUGCUUCUCUGACGUUAGCGGCGGACGGGUGAGUAACACGUGGAUAACCUACCUAUAAGACUGGGAUAACUUCGGGAAACCGGAGCUAAUACCGGAUAAUAUAUUGAACCGCAUGGUUCAAUAGUGAAAGACGGUUUUGCUGUCACUUAUAGAUGGAUCCGCGCCGCAUUAGCUAGUUGGUAAGGUAACGGCUUACCAAGGCAACGAUGCGUAGCCGACCUGAGAGGGUGAUCGGCCACACUGGAACUGAGACACGGUCCAGACUCCUACGGGAGGCAGCAGUAGGGAAUCUUCCGCAAUGGGCGAAAGCCUGACGGAGCAACGCCGCGUGAGUGAUGAAGGUCUUCGGAUCGUAAAACUCUGUUAUUAGGGAAGAACAAAUGUGUAAGUAACUAUGCACGUCUUGACGGUACCUAAUCAGAAAGCCACGGCUAACUACGUGCCAGCAGCCGCGGUAAUACGUAGGUGGCAAGCGUUAUCCGGAAUUAUUGGGCGUAAAGCGCGCGUAGGCGGUUUUUUAAGUCUGAUGUGAAAGCCCACGGCUCAACCGUGGAGGGUCAUUGGAAACUGGAAAACUUGAGUGCAGAAGAGGAAAGUGGAAUUCCAUGUGUAGCGGUGAAAUGCGCAGAGAUAUGGAGGAACACCAGUGGCGAAGGCGACUUUCUGGUCUGUAACUGACGCUGAUGUGCGAAAGCGUGGGGAUCAAACAGGAUU
rnacentral:rRNA from 1 species